rnacentral:rRNA from 1 species
UACGGGGGGAGCAAGCGUUGUUCGGAUUUACUGGGCGUAAAGGGCGCGUAGGCGGUCGUGACACGUCACUUGUGAAAUCUCCGGGCUUAACUCGGAACGGUCAAGUGAUACUGUCGGACUAGAGUACAGAAGGGCAACUGGAAUUCUUGGUGUAGCGGUGAAAUGCGUAGAUAUCAAGAGGAACACCUGCGGCGAAGGCGGGUUGCUGGGCUGACACUGACGCUGAGGCGCGAAAGCUAGGGGAGCGAACGGG